AGCCCAGAUGAGCGUCGCCGAAGCUCCGCCUCGCCGCUAUGUGUGUUCUCUCCGACGCGCGCAAGCCGUGAGGCCGGGAAUCAACCGCCCCGACCCCUUCUUCUCCGCAGUGACCGAAGCUUUUCGUCGUCGAUUCCGUCGAUGCGCACCCCCUUCGAGCUCGCCGUCGCCUCAAUCCGCUACAGGAUGAGCAGACGGUCCUCCCGGACCCCUCCAUCCCCUCGCUCUCGCUCUGCAGCCGCCGCCGUCGACAAGGCCGCGCCCUCCAGGCCCUCCUCGACCGCAAGAGGGCCGACCGCGAGGACGACGAGCGCCAACGCCGGGAGCUCGAGGCCGAGGUCGGCGCCGUCCGCCAGGCCAAGCGCCAGCUCCAGGAGGAGAUCCACGCCCUCAAGGCCUCCGCCGCCGUCGAGGAGAGGGAGGUCGCUCCGGACGCCGCGACCACGAAGUAGGACGGUGGGGUCGCGUGGCAGGGGGUGGCGACGGGCGCGGCCGCCGGCGCCGCCGUCACGGCCGCCCUCGUGCUCGUCUACCUCCGUCACAAGAGGUAAUCGAUCUGGUGCGCGUGGACGGCGCACCGGCGGCCUAGCUCCGAUUGUAUGGGGCGUGCAGAGGAAGGAGACCCUCGUUUUAAUGGGAUUUCUUUUUUUUUUUGUGGGGAAAUUGGAUCCGCGUGUGACACCAAAAUAUAUUACCAGGUUAUAUUUGCAAAAUAACACUAGCGGUUAGGUUUUCAACUGCCACGUGGUCCUGACAGGUGGGCCUGAAUAGUUAGAAAACUGUUUAAGAGGUCUAAAUAAUGAAAUCAGUGCUCUGCGUCCCCAAUAGUGGUAGUCAUGUGACAAAACCAGCCCAUUUGGUAGUUCCGUGACAUAUGUGGCACAAUUGUGGUAGUUUUUUGUCAUUUACUCUUCUCUGUUUGUUACUCUUGACAAUAUUAGACUGACCUUGGCAAAGCAUACUGAUAGUGGAUAUUAUAUUCUUUCAGCAGAAAAAGUAACUUUCUGCCGCUUUUGGUGACAUAGUGAUUUUUCUUAUGUAUGUACCUUGUCGCCUAGAUGUGCUCCCGUGAUUAUUGGCGCCUGAAGGAGCAACAUUGGCAAACCAGGCUUGAGCUUCUAGACAUUUCAUAAACCUGCGCCUUGGUUGACGUUUGGAAUUCCUGCAAACAUCAUGCUGUUUAGGAACUCUAGCAGACAGUGUCAAGCUUAAGAUCAGAAGCAUCUAUAGAUUCAUGAACUUGCCCUCCUAAUUUUCACUGACCGUGUCGAAUCUAUGAUCUUCUAUUGCAACAAGGUAAGAUAUUAUGUAUGGUUAUCUUCUUCUCAAUUUUAUUUUGCCAUUGAUACAUGAUAAGACAUAUUCCUGUUUUAUAAGAAUUCUCUUAAAUUAUUUUCUUCAUUAGAAAAAUAAAACAAUAGAGCACACAUCAUAUAUAGAUAGUGACCCAUCAAAGCAUAUAUAACAUUACAAAUGUCUAAUAAUUCCUCAACUUUGUAGCUGCAAACAAAAUAGAUAACUAAGAAUGCUAAGUUGAAAUAAACAAUAACUAAUUGCGGUGAAUAAGCAGAAGCCUAACUUGUCGCACAAAAGGUACAAAAUAGUGAAGCAAAGCAGCAGGUGGUAAGCAUCCACAUAGAUUGGCAAUGCCAUUAAUUAUAAAUCCAACAUGGAG